AAGUCGUAACAAGGUUUCCGUAGGUGAACCUGCGGAAGGGUCAUUACCGAGAUAGGGUCGCCGGCCUAAACCCCCGGCGCCCGACCUCCAAACCCAUUGUCUACAAUACCUUUGUUGCCUCGGCGGGUCGUCGAGCGCCUAGGCGAUAGGCCUCGCCGUCGGCUCCUAGGAGCCCUCGUGCCCCCAGCCGAGGGACCGAAACUAAACCACAGUUUGAAACCAGCCCCUCUGAGUGAAAUUAUAAUACUUCAAAA
rnacentral:misc_RNA from 1 species